GCCUUUCUGGACCCGCACAGUGGCUGAGCGGUGGAGGGCAAGCCUCGGCAACUGCAUGAGGAGAGGACAGUCCCAUCUACUGAGAUCAUCAACAUGUUGCCACAGAAGCCCUUGGACCUCAUUGAACCAGAAGUUAGAAUUCUUUCGCUGUUUCACACAAAGAUCAGUGUUGUAGCUCAGCCUGAGCUGGAGCCAGACUUUGGCCCCAUGCAAGACUUUGAUUCAUGGCCUUGAGUGACUUUCUUGGACUUUUGUUUAAGGACAGGUAAGUUUUUGCUUUGUGUUUUUCCACUCUAUUGACUUUGAACUUUAUUUGCUUGUGUUUACUUAUAAUCUCCAAUAAACAGCUUGAUUGCUUAUAUUCUGGGCUCCAGAGUGGUCUUCAAGGUGUCUAUGCAGCCUAGGGGUGUGACAAUCAGGAUCCCCUGACUGUAAGAGCUAUUCAGCAGUGUGGUAGAAACUCCUUCCUUGGAAGCUGAAU